CACCAAGGCGACGAUGCGUAGCCGACCUGAGAGGGUGAUCGGCCACAUUGGGACUGAGACACGGCCCAGACUCCUACGGGAGGCAGCAGUGGGGGAUAUUGCACAAUGGGGGAAACCCUGAUGCAGCAACGCCGCGUGAAGGAAGAAGGUCUUCGGAUUGUAAACUUUUGUCCUCAGUGAAGAUAAUGACGGUAGCUGAGGAGGAAGCUCCGGCUAACUAC
rnacentral:rRNA from 1 species